rnacentral:misc_RNA from 1 species
AACGCACAUGGCGCCCCCCGGCAUCCCGGGGGGCAUGCCUGUCCGAGCGUCGUUUCAACCCUCGAGCCCACCACGUGGCCCGGCGUUGGGGAUCUGCGGCUCUGCCGCAGGCCCCGAAAUAGAGUGGCGGACCCGUUACGGCCCACCCUUGCGCAGUAAACAUCACUCGCAUCGGCGGCUCGCGGGCUCUCUCGCCUCUAAACCCCCCACCAAAGCCCGCCCCAGGCGGCACACAGGUUGACCUCGGAUCAGGUAGGAAUACCCGCUGAACUUAA